AUUGAACGCUGGCGGCAGGCCUAACACAUGCAAGUCGAGCGAGCGGCGGACGGGUGCGUAAUGUAUGGGGACUGCUCGAUAGAGGGGGAUAACUACUGGAAACGGUGGCUAAUACCGCAUACUAUCGGAUAACCCAUAUGGGAUUAGAUAGUAGGUGGGGUAAAGGCUCACCUAGGCGACGAUCUCUAGCUGGUCUGAGAGGAUGAUCAUGCACACUGUGACGUAUACACGGCCCAGACCCCUACGGGGGCAGCAGUGGGGAAUUGUGCACAAUGGGCGCAAGCCUGAUGCAUCCAGGCCGCUUGUAUGAAGCAGGCCUUAGGGUUGUAAAGUACUUUCAGCGUGGAGGCGUUACCCGCAGAAGAAGCACCGGCUAACUCCGUGCCAGCAGCCGCGGUAAUAC
rnacentral:rRNA from 1 species